rnacentral:rRNA from 1 species
AAUGAACGCUGGCGGCGGGCCUAAAACAUGCAAGUCGAGCGCCCUAGCAAUAGGGAGCGGCGCACGGGUGAGUAACACGUGGGAAUAUGCCUUUUGGUACGGAACAACUUUUGGAAACGAAAGCUAAUACCGUAUGGUCCCUUCGGGGUAAAGAUUUAUCGCCAAAAGAUUAGCCCGCGUUGGAUUAGCUAGUUGGUAGGGUAAUGGCCUACCAAGGCGACGAUCCAUAGCUGGUCUGAGAGGACGAUCAGCCACACUGGGACUGAGACACGGCCCAGACUCCUACGGGAGGCAGCAGUUAGGAAUAUUGGACAAUGGGCGCAAGCCUGAUCCAGCCAUGCCGCGUGAGUGAUGAAGGCCUUCGGGUUGUACAGCUCUUUAGCCGAUGAAUAUAAUGACUGUAGUCGGAGAAUAAGCCCCGGCUAACUUCGUGCCAGCCGCCGCCGUAA